rnacentral:rRNA from 1 species
GACGAGCCACACGAACGUUAUUCGGAAUUACUGGGCUUAAAGGGCGCGUAGGCGGUGUGUCACGUCGGCCGUGAAAACCUGGGGCUUAACUCUGGGCGUGCGGUCGAUACGGGCAUCACUAGAGUUCGGCAGGGGAGACUGGAAUUCCUGGUGUAGCGGUGAAAUGCGCAGAGAUCCGGAAGAACACCGGUGGCGAAGGCGGCCUGCUGGGCAGUAGCUGACACUGAGGCGCGACAGCGUGGGGAGCAAACAGG